rnacentral:rRNA from 1 species
GACGAACGCUCGCGGCGCGCUUAACACAUGCAAGUCGAACGGAAAGUCCCUGCUUUUGUGGGGUGCUCGCGUGGCGAACCGGUGAGUUACCCGUGAGUAACCUGCCCUUGCCUUUGUGAUAACUUCCCCAAACUGGUGCUGAUACCGUAUAGGAGCUCCUGCUGCACUGUGGCGUUUGGCAAUUUUCGGCGGUUGGGAAUGGUCUCGCCGGUUAUCAGCUUGUUGGUGGGGUAGUGGCCUACCAAGGCUUUGUGGGGUAUCCGGCCUGCGAGGGUGACCGGCCACAUUGGGACAGAGAUGCGGCACGGACACGAACGGGAGGCAGCAGUGGGGAAUAUUGCACUAUGGGCGGAAGCAUAACGCAACAACGCCGCGUGCGGGAUAACGGCCUUCGGGUUGUAACCCGCGUUCGCCUGGGACGAAGCGAGAGUGACGAUAAUGGGUCAAGAGGCUCCGGAUAACUACGUG